AAUCAAAUAUGUUAAGACACCACAACUCACUAACUCAUAAAUAUCAGUUUUAACCCAUGUUCGGAAACUCGCUAGGCGCUAUCCGUGCGGUUGACAGGGGCCUAGCGAGUUAUCAAAAAAUUGGGGAUUAAUCUAUGAUUAACCGGGGAUUAGUUUUUCACUCUUUUAUGUAUAUAUACACAUAUUUCCAUAAUUAAUACAAUGAAAUCUGUUGGUUCAAAUGGCUAAGGAGAGUAUAUAGCUCGAGCAGACUCGGGUUCAAACCCCUGAUCCAUCUUUUUGGCUUUAUUUUUAUUUUGUUCUUUUAAUGAAGGGCAAAAUGGUAAUUCGCCAAGUCACCGCUUACCUUUCCCCUGCAAGUUUAACCUGCAAAUUCGUGAGCCUCCAUUUUUGUUCUCAG
rnacentral:lncRNA from 1 species